GACGUAGGGCGCGAGCGUUGUCCGGAUUUAUUGGGCGUAAAGAGCUCGUAGGCGGCUUGUCGCGUCGACUGUGAAAACCCGCGGCUCAACCGUGUGGUCUGCAGUCGAUACGGGCAGGCUAGAGUUCGGUAGGGGAGACUGGAAUUCCUGGUGUAGCGGUGAAAUGCGCAGAUAUCAGGAGGAACACCGAUGGCGAAGGCAGCUCGCUGGGACGUUACUGACGCUGAGACGCGAAAGCGUGGGGAGCAAACAGG
rnacentral:rRNA from 1 species